CAGCCGCCGCGGUAAUACGGAGGGAGCUAGCGUUGUUCGGAAUCACUGGGCGUAAAGCGUACGCAGGCGGUUUGUUAAGUCAGAUGUGAAAUCCCCGAGCUUAACUCGGGAACUGCAUUUGAAACUGGCAGGCUAGAGUCUCGUAGAGGGGGGUAGAAUUCCAGGUGUAGCGGUGAAAUGCGUAGAGAUCUGGAGGAAUACCGGUGGCGAAGGCGGCCCCCUGGACAAAGACUGACGCUCAGGUGCGAAAGCGUGGGGAGCAAACAGGAUUAGAGACCCCCGUAGCCCUGUCUCUUAUACA
rnacentral:rRNA from 1 species